AGAGUUUGAUCCUGGCUCAGGACGAACGCUGGCGGCACGCUUAACACAUGCAAGUCGAACGAGAGAAGAGGAGCUUGCUUUUCUGAUCUAGUGGCGGACGGGUGAGUAACACGUGAGCAAUCUGCCUUUCAGAGGGGGAUACCGAUUGGAAACGAUCGUUAAUACCGCAUAACAUAAUUGAACCGCAUGAUUUGAUUAUCAAAGAUUUAUCGCUGAAAGAUGAGCUCGCGUCUGAUUAGCUGGUUGGUAAGGUAACGGCUUACCAAGGCGACGAUCAGUAGCCGGACUGAGAGGUUGAUCGGCCACAUUGGGACUGAGACACGGCCCAGACUCCUACGGGAGGCAGCAGUGGGGAAUAUUGCACAAUGGAGGAAACUCUGAUGCAGCGAUGCCGCGUGAGGGAAGAAGGUUUUAGGAUUGUAAACCUCUGUCUUCAGGGACGAAUAAAGACGGUACCUGAGGAGGAAGCUCCGGCUAACUACGUGCCAGCAGCCGCGGUAGUACGUAGGGAGCGAGCGUUGUCCGGAAUUACUGGGUGUAAAGGGAGCGUAGGCGGGAUCGCAAGUCAGAUGUGAAAACUAUGGGCUUAACCCAUAGACUGCAUUUGAAACUGUGGUUCUUGAGUGAAGUAGAGGUAAGCGGAAUUCCUAGUGUAGCGGUGAAAUGCGUAGAUAUUAGGAGGAACAUCAGUGGCGAAGGCGGCUUACUGGGCUUUAACUGACGCUGAGGCUCGAAAGCGUGGGGAGCAAACAGGAUUAGAUACCCUGGUAGUCCACGCCGUAAACGAUGAUUACUAGGUGUGGGGGGACUGACCCCUUCCGUGCCGCAGCAAACGCAAUAAGUAAUCCACCUGGGGAGUACGACCGCAAGGUUGAAACUCAAAGGAAUUGACGGGGGCCCGCACAAGCAGUGGAGUAUGUGGAUUAAUUCGAAGCAACGCGAAGAACCUUACCAGGUCUUGACAUCGUAUGCAUAGCUCAGAGAUGAGUGAAAUCUCUUCGGAGACAUAUAGACAGGUGGUGCAUGGUUGUCGUCAGCUCGUGUCGUGAGAUGUUGGGUUAAGUCCCGCAACGAGCGCAACCCUUACUGUUAGUUGCUACGCAAGAGCACUCUAGCAGGACUGCCGUUGACAAAACGGAGGAAGGUGGGGAUGACGUCAAAUCAUCAUGCCCCUUAUGACCUGGGCCUCACACGUACUACAAUGGCUGUCAACAGAGGGAAGCAAAGCCGCGAGGUGGAGCGAACCCCUAAAAGCAGUCUUAGUUCGGAUUGUAGGCUGCAACCCGCCUACAUGAAGUCGGAAUUGCUAGUAAUCGCAGAUCAGCAUGCUGCGGUGAAUACGUUCCCGGGCCUUGUACACACCGCCCGUCACGCCAUGGGAGUCGGUAACACCCGAAGCCUGUAGUCUAACCGCAAGGAGGACGCAGUCGAAGGUGGGAUUGAUGACUGGGGUGAAGUCGUAACAAGGUA
rnacentral:rRNA from 1 species